AUUGAACGCUGGCGGCAUGCCUUACACAUGCAAGUCGAACGGCAGCGGGCCUUCGGGUGCCGGCGAGUGGCGAACGGGUGAGUAAUGCAUCGGAACGUGCCAUUGAGUGGGGGGAUAACGUAGCGAAAGUUACGCUAAUACCGCAUAUUCUGUGAGCAGGAAAGCAGGGGACCGCAAGGCCUUGCGCUCUUUGAGCGGCCGAUGUCAGAUUAGCUAGUUGGUGAGGUAAAGGCUUACCAAGGCGACGAUCUGUAGCGGGUCUGAGAGGAUGAUCCGCCACACUGGAACUGAGACACGGUCCAGACUCCUACGGGAGGCAGCAGUGGGGAAUUUUGGGACAAUGGGCGCAAGCCUGAUCCAGCCAUGCCGCGUGAGUGAAGAAGGCCU
rnacentral:rRNA from 1 species